UAUGAGAUAAAAUGACUCUCCUAGUGUCAU
rnacentral:piRNA from 1 species